AACGAACGCUGGCGGCGUGCCUAACACAUGCAAGUCGUACGUGAAAGUCUUCGGAUGAGUAAAGUGGCGCACGGGUGAGUAACACGUAGGUGACCUGCCUUAUAGAGGGGAAUAACCAGAAGAAAUUUUGGCUAAUGCCGCAUACGAAGCACGGUUUUAAGACUGUGCUUGAAAGAAUGCCUCUGCAUAUGCAUUCGCUAUUAGAUGGGCCUGCGGGACAUUAGCUAGUUGGUGGGGUAAAGGCCUACCAAGGCAACGAUGUCUAUCCGGUCUGAGAGGAUGAUCGGACACACUGGAACUGAGACACGGUCCAGACUCCUACGGGAGGCAGCAGUGGGGAAUAUUGCGCAAUGGGGGAAACCCUGACGCAGCAACGCCGCGUGGGUGAUGAAGGCCUU
rnacentral:rRNA from 1 species